rnacentral:rRNA from 1 species
CACUCCUGCGGGAGGCAGCAGUGGGGAAUAUUGGACAAUGGGCGCAAGCCUGAUCCAGCCAUGCCGCGUGAGUGAUGAAGGCCCUAGGGUUGUAAAGCUCUUUCACCGGUGAAGAUAAUGACGGUAACCGGAGAAGAAGCCCCGGCUAACUUCGUGCCAGCAGCCGCGGUAAUACGAAGGGGGCUAGCGUUGUUCGGAUUUACUGGGCGUAAAGCGCACGUAGGCGGACUAUUAAGUCAGGGGUGAAAUCCCGGGGCUCAACCCCGGAACUGCCUUUGAUACUGGUAGUCUUGAGUUCGAGAGAGGUGAGUGGAAUUCCGAGUGUAGAGGUGAAAUUCGUAGAUAUUCGGAGGAACACCAGUGGCGAAGGCGGCUCACUGGCUCGAUACUGACGCUGAGGUGCGAAAGCGUGGGGAGCAAACAGGAUUAGAAACCCUAGUAGUCCCAU